UGGGGAAUUUUGGACAAUGGGCGAAAGCCUGAUCCAGCAAUGCCGCGUGUGUGAAGAAGGCCUUCGGGUUGUAAAGCAAUUUUGUCCGGAAAGAAAUGGCUCUGGUUAAUACCUGGGGUCGAUGACGGUACCGGAAGAAUAAGGACCGGCUAACUACGUGCCAGCAGCCGCGGUAAUACGUAGGGUCCAAGCGUUAAUCGGAAUUACUGGGCGUAAAGCGUGCGCAGGCGGUUGUGCAAGACCGAUGUGAAAUCCCCGAGCUUAACUUGGGAAUUGCAUUGGUGACUGCACGGCUAGAGUGUGUCAGAGGGGGGUAGAAUUCCACGUGUAGCAGUGAAAUGCGUAGAGAUGUGGAGGAAUACCGAUGGCGAAGGCAGCCCCCUGGGAUAACACUGACGCUCAUGCACGAAAGCGUGGGGAGCAAACAGG
rnacentral:rRNA from 1 species